rnacentral:tRNA from 1 species
UCCCUGGUGGCUCAGAUGGUAAAGCAUCUGCCUACAGUGCGGGAGACCUGGGUUCGAUCCCUGGGUUGGGAA